GAUGAAGAACGUAGCGAAAUGCGAUAAGUAAUGUGAAUUGCAGAAUUCAGUGAAUCAUCGAAUCUUUGAACGCACAUUGCGCCCUCUGGUAUUCCGGGGGGCAUGCCUGUUCGAGCGUCAUUAUAACCACUCAAGCUCUCGCUUGGUAUUGGGGUUCGCGGUUCCGCGGCCCCUAAAAUCAGUGGCGGUGCCUGUUGGCUCUACGCGUAGUAAUACUCCUCGCGAUUGGGUCCGGUAGGUCUACUUGCCAGCAACCCCCAAUUUUUACAGGUUGACCUCGGAUCAGGUAGGGAUACCCGCUGAACUUAAGCAUAUCAAUAAGCGGAGGA
rnacentral:misc_RNA from 1 species